GUUCCAGAACCUUCCCAAACAUGCCUGCUAACUGGGGCUAAGUAUGAACCUCCUGAAACUGUGGGGGAUGCUUCUCCCUCUAACUGCCACAGUGACCGCCCACACACAUGGCUCCAUGUGGUAACCAUGAAGUAUUAUAACGAUGACUGCCCAAAGGGCGGAGGACGACUCCGGAUCGCCAGGGAGGAGACCAUGAUGAAGGAACAUGGAGACACAACCUGACCGACGCACGUGCACUUUAAGCAAGAGACUUUUGCAGCAAUAGAUUUUUCACAAUUACUCUUGGUUGUCAGUAGCUCUCCCACCUAAGGUGUUCGAGAAUUUAUUACAAUUUAAAGAAAGCAUGGAGCCAGGGAAAUAGCUCAGUUGAUAAAGUGCUUGUCGCAUAAGCAAGAGGACGUGAGUUCCACCCACAACCCUAAUAUUGAAAAAGAUUAAAAAAAAUAAACAAAAAAAAAAAAAAAACAAACAAAA